UAACGCGUGGGUAACCUGCCCUGUACAGGGGGAUAACAGUCAGAAAUGACUGCUAAUACCGCAUAAGACCACAGCACCGCAUGGUGCAGGGGUAAAAGCUCCGGUGGUACAGGAUGGACCCGCGUCUGAUUAGCUGGUUGGUGAGGUAACGGCUCACCAAGGCGACGAUCAGUAGCCGGCUUGAGAGAGUGAACGGCCACAUUGGGACUGAGACACGGCCCAA
rnacentral:rRNA from 1 species